GGUGCCAGAAGGAGGGAGACCAAUCCAGCCUUAGGAAAACAAACCUUCCAUGGGAGUCUUGGAGAGUGGCGACCAUCCUAAUGACUUA
rnacentral:pre_miRNA from 1 species